AUUGAACGCUGGCGGAAUGCUUUACACAUGCAAGUCGAGCGGCAGCACGGGGGCAACCCUGGUGGCGAGCGGCGAACGGGUGAGUAAUACAUCGGAACAUGCCCAGUCUUGGGGGAUAACACUUCGAAAGAAGUGCUAAUACCGCAUACGUCCUGAGGGAGAAGGCGGGGGAUCUUCGGACCUCGCGCGAUUGGAGUGGCCGAUGUCAGAUUAGCUAGUUGGUGGGGUAAAGGCCUACCAAGGCAACGAUCUGUAGCUGGUCUGAGAGGAUGAUCAGCCACACUGGGACUGAGACACGGCCCAGACUCCUACGGGAGGCAGCAGUGGGGAAUUUUGGACAAUGGGGGCAACCCUGAUCCAGCCAUUCCGCGUGAGUGAAGAAGGCCUUCGGGUUGUAAAGCUCUUUCGGCAGGAACGAAACGGCGAGCUCUAACAUAGCUUGCUAAUGACGGUACCUGAAGAAGAAGCACCGGCUAACUCUGUGCCAGCCGCCGCCGUAACAC
rnacentral:rRNA from 1 species